UAGCCGACGUUGAAAGGGAAGAGCAUUCGCCUCGCCUACAGAGAGCAGACCGCAAGCGCUGGAAGGUCUGCAGGCAAGGAGCGGAUGCGGGUCGCCCCGGAGUUGCCCCGGUCAUGCUGCGCGAGCAGCGGAAGCCGGAGCCGGCCGCAGCCGAUAUCCUGCGCCAAAGUGCCGCAAGGAAGCUUUCUUGCGGAACAAAGGUGGUACCGCGGAAGCCUGAAGUCUUUCGUCCUUUGC
rnacentral:ncRNA from 1 species